UACGAAGGGGACUAGCGUUGUUCGGAAUCACUGGGCGUAAAGCGCACGUAGGCGGAUGUGUCAGUCAGGGGUGAAAUCCCGGGGCUCAACCUCGGAACUGCCUUUGAUACAGCACGUCUCGAGUCCGGAAGAGGUGGGUGGAAUUCCUAGUGUAGAGGUGAAAUUCGUAGAUAUUAGGAAGAACACCGGUGGCGAAGGCGGCCCACUGGUCCGGUACUGACGCUGAGGAGCGAAAGCGUGGGGAGCGAACAGG
rnacentral:rRNA from 1 species